AAGCUCCUUAAUAAAUAAUCUGAAAUUUGCAUACCUUUGUUAUUGUAGACACCAAUCUACCAUUUAGCUUAACUCCACUCACUCUCUCAUUUCUCCUCGUUAAACCUUUUGUCAUGAAUUUCUUCAAAUCCGUUUUCUCAGACGAUCCAGAUCCACUUCAACCCGAAUCCCAACCCGAAUCCAACAAUGCUGACCCGAUUCCCGAUUCCGCCGGCGCCGACGACACUUGGAACUUCGGCGGACUCAUCAAAACCCUCACAGCCAAAUCCGAAUCCAUAAUCGAAACCUACCGUCGCGAUCUACAGGAAUUCAGCACUGGAUUGAAGAACGAGAUCGAGGUUGCUCAAGAUUCAGUUGGUGAGAUCGGAAGCACCGUCAUCAAAGGAACGGCUCAGAUCAUAUCUCAAGGUAAGGAAGCAAUCCUCGCCGUUAAUCUCGAUUCCGAUAAUGCCACUGCCACCACCACCGCCACUGCUAAUCGCGAUUCGAAUAGCUUAGAUUCGAAGCGAUAUAGUAGGUUUGAUGCUCAGAUUAGUGCAAUUCAGAGUGAUGUUGGGACUUACACUGAGGUACCUGAGGAUUUGGGUGAAUUCAAUGAGUGGAAAUUAGGGUUUGUGUUGGAUGGGAAAAGUGAUGAAAUGGAGAGUCUUUUUAGGGAGAAUGAUGUAAUGGAGAGUGUUUAUAAAAGGAUUGUUCCAAAUAGUAUUGAUCAUGAAACUUUUUGGUAUAGGUAUUAUUAUAAGGUUUAUAGGCUUAAGAAAGCUGAAGAUGUUAGGGCUAAGCUUGUUAGAAGAAUAUCUAAGGAUGAAGAGGAUUUGAGUUGGGAUGUUGAAGAUGAGGACGAUGACGAUGAUAGUGUGGCGGAGAAGGAGAAGAAGCAUGAAGGUGAAAAUUUGGGGAAAAGUGUCGAUACUGAUUUGAACAUUGGUGCAUCUAGCUCUGGUUCUAGUGAUGAGAAGAGAUUGAGUGUGGAAGAGGUGAAACAUUCAGAGUCUAAAGAAGAAGAGAGAGAUGAUUCAAUGCAAACUAAUGAACUUGGUAAUGAGAUGGGUAAGUCUGUUGAUGAAUUGCGAGUUGAAGUUGUUAAUGAGACGGGUGGUGGAAAUGAGGAUACUGGUGUUGAUAAAACAUUAAAGUCAGUAGUAGUUGAUGGUGCUGUGAGUGCGAGCAAGGAUGUUUCUGUGGGUGAGUCUGAUGAGACAGUGAUAGAAGUGGAAAGAAAUGCUGCUGAUGUAAAAUCUUCUAGUAGUAAGAAUAAUGAGUCGUCGGUGGUUGAAAAUCAGCACAUUGAAAACGAGGAGGAAGAUGAUCUUGGGUGGGAUGAUAUUGAGGAUCUUAGCAGUAUCGAUGACAAUAAAGCAACUCAAUCUCAGAGUCAGAGUGGUAGCAUCAGCAAGGAUGAUUUGCGGAAGCGCCUUAGCACUGCAGAGGAAGAUGAAGACUUGAGUUGGGACAUUGAAGAUGAUGAUGAUGAGCCUGUGAAGGCUUGACAUGUAUUUGAUCCAUUCUGUUGUGAUUUCUCAAAAGAUAUACCAACAUAUGCUACUGUGGAAGCUGAAGUCUCCUUUGAAGACAAAACAAUACAUGUCUUAUGCAGUUCAAUUUACCUACCAAUGAAUACAUUAGGUGCAUGAAAAGUACCAUAAGAGUAUAUGUGUUUUUGUAAUGCCUCAAUUGGUGCCAGAGUUAUGAGCCAUGAUGACUGUUUUUUAAGAUAUGAAUCUUACCGAAGAUGACACAAGCAAACCCACUGGCCUUGUAGCUGUGGCAGGUUUGAGCUCUUGACUUUGAGCUAGGUGUCUACUUCUAUGUCUUUGUUCGUGUUAAUUGAUUAGGCAGAAUCAUUUGAUGCUAAAAAAUAAGCUUUACUAAAUGAAAAAGUAAAAGGGGACCGCAUGGUUCUUUCUAUGCAAAAUAUACUCCACUCUUUAAGAAGUUGAGUUAUGCUCAAUUAUCAGAAAGCAAGAUGAAUAAUAUUCAAAUUAAAACAAUGAAGGAACAAAUUUACUGCAGUUCUUCCUCCUAGAAUCAAGUAGCUAAAAUCAAAAUUGAAAAUAUCAGAUAGUAUACAUUAUACAAGUCUCUCAUAGUAGUAUAACCUUCAACUCUAUGAAAACAUGGAACUGCUAAGGAUAUGAGGUGUAUGUCACAGUAGGUAACUGAAAUUUACAGAAUUUGUUUCCACUUCCAGAUUUUGGAUGUUGAUUCACUUUCAGGAAUAGACGCAAUAAUUUUAAGCAAGAAAAUCCACCACAAAUACUUGAAACAAUACCUCCUUCUGAGAUUAAACAAACAUGUAAUUACGAUUCAGAUAUGGCUAAUUGACCAUACAUAUCUAAAAAGUGGUUAAAGAAUUCCACAACAAAGACUGAACUUGAAAUUCAACAACAUAUAUAUGAAUAGAGAAAAUCAUUAAUAAAUAACUAAGCAUCCCAAUGACGAUUUGAUUCGUCUAAAAAGAUGGUUAACUUAAAAAUAUCAUUCUUACAAACUGAUAUAUCAGAUAUAAUUCACACUCUUCAAUUUUGAAAGCUUGACUAUUCUACUAAAGCUCUUACCAUGAUUGGCAAACAUAAAAAUACCGUUGUGAACUCCACUAGAAUCUACUCUAUCCAAGAGGAAGAAAAAAAAGUAGAAGAAAGGGUGUGAAAUAAAAAGAAUGAACCAAACUUCUGUAGCAACACCUGGGGUGGACCCUGUUUGUACAACAAAAUGUAAGCUCCAGAGUGCAGAGAAAAUAACUGGAGCUUGAAAGUCACCUAUCAUGUUUCGCAUGUCUUUGAACCCAAGGCUGCUUCAUAACCAAAUUUGUUCUCAUCCUUCGACACAAAUGCUGGGUUCAGAAGUGGACUCUCCAAUGUGUGGCUCAACAGGAGAAGGCAAUGCUAGAAGCCUUCCUUUCUGUGCACGUGGUGGAAGAUGCUUUGCAGGUUUUCUGGAUGGGACAUUCCAUGGCAAGAAGACUCCAGUACCACCACCAGCAAGUUUACGGGGAUUCAAUGCCAUAGGACGCAUAGGUGUCAGCAUCAUCAUCGGGCCAGGAAGCAUUCCCCAUUUGGGCAUCAUCAUGUCCAUACCGUCAUAGCCGCAACUUAUAGUUCCAUUUGGCAAAGCAUACGGAUUAGCAAUGGCAGGUUGCCAGAGAGUCAUUGAAUUUGUCAUGGUAGGAGUUGGUGAUUGGCAUUGAUUGGAGUCUGGCCUCACUCUAAAGAAGGUGAUGCUCACCCUUCUGUUUGGAGAUGGACACAUGACGUGCCUUGCCAUGUCAGCACUGUUUCCUCUCAUCACCACGAGAGACCUGUAAAGUCAAGUUGUUAUUCAUCGGUUAGUACGAUAUAUGAUUGGCUCAAUUUCCUUGCACAAGACAUUCAGAAGAAUAUCUCAGCAGGUAAUUAGACAUUCAGCAAUGAAUAACUUGAUUCUUGAGCUGAGAACAUUAAUAAGGCUAUUGAUUAUCUAAACUAGGUUCCAUUUCAACUACAAUCUAGCCAUUGAUAUUUUUGAGAUACAAACAAUCUGUUUUUGUCCCUGGCUUGAGUACCUCCCAAGUUUGUCUGAUAUUCAAGAAAAACAAAAAACAAAAGAAAA